rnacentral:lncRNA from 1 species
CGGCCGCGGCGGCGGGGCCGGGAGCGAGCGAGGGAGCGAGCGAGCGGCUCGGGGGAGUUCGGAGGCGCCAGGCCCCCGGGGGAGGGCGGCCGGGGAGGCAGGCCCCCGAGAGACCUGUCGGGUUGGAUUUUGGGGCCGAGGGGGCGCCUGACCACUGACCUCGUUCUUCAGACGCCCCCCAGCCCCGGCCGCUGACGGGGGGCUGAGGGGCGCCGUCUUGCCUCUGCCGCGGUGACGCGCGGGGCGGUAAGGAGAACCGGGAGAGGAACCGUGACGAGAACCGCAAGGAGAACCGGGAGAGGAACCGUGACGAGAGCCGCGAGGAGCCGCGCGGUCUCCCCGGGGAUGUCCCUCAGGCGGCCAGAGAAAGCGACUCACUCGAGCCCUGGGCAGCGAUGGCAGAGGAACAACAACAGCCGCCACCACAGCAGCUCGAUGCCCAUCAGCAGCUUCCCCUCAGCGCCCCCAA